CCCCGUGGCCCUGCGCGUCCCGCCCCCGCGCCCCACGUGCUGCGAUCCGGCCAAUGGGAAACCCGCGCGCGCGGACCCGGAUCAGGAAACGCGCGGGGGUUGCGUGAUGGAUGCUGCUAGCCACCCGGGCGGGAGGAGCGAGCAGGGGCUUGUGUUCCUCGGCCCCCCAACUUGGAUUCCGGCUGAGAAGUUGGGGCCUGGUUAGCCUGCGCAGAAUUUGUACAUCAUUUUUCAUUUAAAGAUUUGGAACCUUCCUAUAUUGCAGUUGAUGGAGGUGCUGAUGAGAGUUAAACUGGCCCCCUUUACUGGGAGCUACUUGAGACCUCCACCCUAGAGUGGGAAUAGACAGACGACGCCUGCACAAAACCCGGCUUUGAAUCCAGUAACUUCGCGUUCCAGAACAUCCACCAAACAAAACCAAGUUUGAGAUCGAAUAAGACCCUUCCUGGUCUGAUUGUCAAUCGGUCUUUUCUAACUCUUCCCUCCCUUCUCCUUUCGGAUGGUGUUUCCUCAGGCAGGAUCUAGAGCAAGGGCUAUAUUUACAGGGCAGCCUGUAAUUUCUGAAUUGCUGAAAAUUAGCAUUUUAACGAUAUCAGUAGCUCCGGAAAGGAGGGAGAAGGGACUGUUGCCUGCCAUUUGGUAAUUGAAAUUUGAUGGGUAAACUAAUUAUGCCAUUAUUAACAAAUAAAUUACUUAUUAAUUCCACCUAAUGUUGAUCUUUGAAGUAAAUACUGAUGCCGCAUUCAUACUGUAUUUGUCCUCUUUCCUUUCUUCUCAAUAGCAGACACGCCUAGAUCCUUCUCAUGACAGUAAAGCCGUGCAAACUAGCACAUCAGCAUUCUAAAAAUGACUCUCACGUUGGCAUGCAAAGCAAUUUCAGUUGGUGCACCUAGUUGAUUUUUCAGAGAGCAGAAUAGAGCAACUACCUUCUCACAACCGAGUCCCAAACGCAGACAAGGAAAGUUAUAACGCAAGCCCAGAGACACUUCCAAAAGAAUGUCCAUUCUAUCUCAUUCCUAUCUGUUACUCACUUGGGCUACUAAAUACUGGGAUAUAACCAUUUGAUAGAUAGUCAUUUAAUGCUCAGACACAUAAAGACUAUUACUGAGACUAAUCUUUAAAGUAAUUUAGGGAAAGAGGUUAAAAAAAGGAUCACGUUAGUUUCUUAUUGAAAUAGUGCAAAGAGGUU
rnacentral:sRNA from 1 species